rnacentral:rRNA from 1 species
AUUGAACGCUGGCGGCAGGCCUAACACAUGCAAGUCGAGCGGAUGAAGAGAGCUUGCUCUCUGAUUCAGCGGCGGACGGGUGAGUAAUGCCUAGGAAUCUGCCUGAUAGUGGGGGACAACGUUUCGAAAGGAACGCUAAUACCGCGUACGUCCUACGGGAGAAAGCAGGGGACCUUCGGGCCUUGCGCUAUCAGAUGGGCCUAGGUCGGAUUAGCUAGUUGGUGAGGUAAUGGCUCACCAAGGCGACGAUCCGUAACUGGUCUGAGAGGAUGAUCAGUCACACUGGAACUGAGACACGGUCCAGACUCCUACGGGAGGCAGCAGUGGGGAAUAUUGGACAAUGGGCGAAAGCCUGAUCCAGCCAUGCCGCGUGUGUGAAGAAGGUCUUCGGAUUGUAAAGCACUUUAAGUUGGGAGGAAGGGCAUUAACCUAAUACGUUAGUGUUUUGACGUUACCGACAGAAUAAGCACCGGCUAACUUCGUGCCAGCA